rnacentral:rRNA from 1 species
UGGGGAAUUUUGGACAAUGGGCGAAAGCCUGAUCCAGCAAUGCCGCGUGUGUGAAGAAGGCCUUCGGGUUGUAAAGCACUUUUGUCCGGAAAGAAAUCCUUGGCUCUAAUACAGUCGGGGGAUGACGGUACCGGAAGAAUAAGCACCGGCUAACUACGUGCCAGCAGCCGCGGUAAUACGUAGGGUGCAAGCGUUAAUCGGAAUUACUGGGCGUAAAGCGUGCGCAGGCGGUUUGCUAAGACCGAUGUGAAAUCCCCGGGCUCAACCUGGGAACUGCAUUGGUGACUGGCAGGCUAGAGUAUGGCAGAGGGGGGUAGAAUUCCACGUGUAGCAGUGAAAUGCGUAGAGAUGUGGAGGAAUACCGAUGGCGAAGGCAGCCCCCUGGGCCAAUACUGACGCUCAUGCACGAAAGCGUGGGGAGCAAACAGGAUUAGAUACCCUGGGUAGUCCACGCCCUAAAACGAUGUCAACUAGUUGUUGGGGAUUCAUUUCCUUAGUAACGUAGCUAACGCGUGAAGUUGACCGCCUGGGGAGUACGGUCGCAAGAUUAAAACUCAAAUGAAUUGACGGGGUCAUAGCUGUUUCCU